UACGGAGGGUGCAAGCGUUAUCCGGAUUUACUGGGUUUAAAGGGUGCGUAGGCGGUCGGGUAAGUCUGAUGUGAAAUCUCACAGCUUAACUGUGAAACUGCAUUGGAUACUAUCCGGCUCGAGGAAUGGAGGGGAGACUGGAAUACUUGGUGUAGCAGUGAAAUGCGUAGAUAUCAAGUGGAACACCAGUGGCGAAGGCGAGUCUCUGGACAUUUCCUGACGCUGAGGCACGAAAGCCAGGGGAGCAAACGGG
rnacentral:rRNA from 1 species